GAUAUACUCCCUCCGUUCGGAAUUACUUGUCUCGGAAAUGGAUGUAUCUAGAACUAAAAUAUGUCUAGAUACAUCCAUUUCCGUGACAAGUAAUUCCGAACGGAGGGAGUAGAUG
rnacentral:pre_miRNA from 1 species